rnacentral:tRNA from 1 species
AAGUUUAGGUUAGCACUCAAACCAAGGACCUUCAAAGCCCUAAACAGGGGACAACCCCCCUAUCUUCUG